UCCAGGCUUGAUGCUCCAUCUGACGGUCCAGCACAUCUCUGGGGUGAUACCCGCAGCCUCAGGCUGCUUUUAAGUCAUAGAGGAGCUGAGGUGGCAUAGAAGGAGGCCUCCGCACAGACAGACCCACCCUCUGACAAAGCAGAUGGAGAGGCCUUUUCUCUAAGGAGAUUGUCAUCUGGGAUGCUUUCCCAUAAUGAAGCAACUCACGCUCCUUGAUCUUACAUCAGUAGUUGUGACUUCAGCUGCUUACCUGAAGGAAGUUGGUGUGGUCCUGGGUUUGGCCCCUUCACGUGCAAGAAACAGCACUUAUGGCAUGACCAGCCUGGUUUCUCAGAAUUUCCCAACUCACGGGGCCUGCCUGAACAAGUUGGAGCUGGAGGAAGGAGGAAGGCAGUCUGCAAACCAUCAGUGGACGCUUUGCUCAGCCCCCAAGCAGCCCUGUGAGCGCUCGAAUUGCUUGGCUACAACACCUACAACCACAUCGAGAACCUGUUUAAACGCUCAGCUCUUUUCACCUUAAUUUGUCAUUUUGUCUGAAUGGUUUCUGAUAUCCGGCGUUGGUGGCACAAAUUCCACAGGCGGAAGGGGAGGAAGAGAACACAUCAGCUUAUUGCCUGCCUUUAAGCAAUGAAGCAUAGAAUCAUCGACUCAGCAAGGCUGGAAAAGACCUCCAGGAUCAUCCAGUCCAACUGUCUGCCUACCACCCGUAUUUCGAACUAAGCCAGGUCCCAGUGCCACGUCUAAAUGUUUCCUGAACACCUCCAGGUCAGUGAGCCCACCAGCUCCCUGGGCAGCCCAUUCCAGCACCUGACUGCUCUCUUGGGGAAGAAAUAUUUCCUAACAUCCAACCCGAACCUCCCCUAGCACAACUUGCAGCCAGUAAGGAAGCACUCACAUUCCAGGAACUGCCCUGCUUUGAACUCUUUAAAAGAGUCAUUCACAUCCUCUGUGAAAUACCACCACAACAAAAAACAACUAGAGUCAGCAGAAAACGUGAACAUUGAUAAAUGCAAUAAAUACAGAGUCAUCCGAUCUUUAGAAUUGAUUCACAGAAUCACCAAGGUUGGAGAAAACCUCCAAGAUCACCCAUUCCAACACCCACCUACCACCAAUAGC